rnacentral:rRNA from 1 species
CUACGGGUGGCACCAGUGGGGAAUAUUGGACAAUGGGGGCAACCCUGAUCCAGCAAUGCCGCGUGUGUGAAGAAGGCCUUCGGGUUGUAAAGCACUUUAGUUGGGGAAGAAGGUGAGUAGUUUAAGAGAUGGCUUACUUGACGGUACCCAAAGAAUAAGCACCGGCUAACUCUGUGCCAGCAGCCGCGGUAAUACAGAGGGUGCAAGCGUUAAUCGGAGUUACUGGGCGUAAAGGGCGCGUAGGCGGUUAUUUAAGUUGGAUGUGAAAUCCCUGGGCUUAACCUAGGAACUGCAUACAAGACUGGGUAACUAGAGUACUGUAGAGGGUAGUGGAAUUUCCGGUGUAGCGGUGAAAUGCGUAGAGAUCGGAAGGAACACCAGUGGCGAAGGCGGCUACCUGGACAGAUACUGACGCUGAGGCGCGAGAGCGUGGGGAGCAAACAGGAUUAGAUACCCUCGUAGUC